ACCGGCGCACGGGUGAGUAACGCGUAUCCAACCUGCCCAUGUCUGGGGAAUAACCCGUCGAAAGGCGGACUAACUCCCCAUGGACAUGGAUGGGGAUGCGUCUGAUUAGGUAGUAGGCGGGGUAACGGCCCACCUAGCCUACGAUCAGUAGGGGUUCUGAGAGGAAGGUCCCCCACAUUGGAACUGAGACACGGUCCAAACUCCUACGGGAGGCAGCAGUGAGGAAUAUUGGUCAAUGGACGAGAGUCUGAACCAGCCAAGUAGCGUGCAGGAUGACGGCCUAUGGGUUGUAAACUGCUUUUGCGCGGGGAUAGGUACCGCGCGAAUAAGGACCGGCUAAUUCCGUGCCAGCAGCCGCGGUAAUACGGAAGGUCCGGGCGUUAUCCGGAUUUAUUGGGUUUAAAGGGAGCGUAGGCCGGAGAUUAAGCGUGUUGUGAAAUGUAGACGCUCAACGUCUGCACUGCAGCGCGAACUGUUUUCCUUGAGCACGCACAAAGUGGGCGGAAUUCGUGGUGUAGC
rnacentral:rRNA from 1 species